rnacentral:rRNA from 1 species
ACGGUAUGUGUCGCCCCCCCCAGAGGUUCGCCUACGGAAGUCCCCAGCAGCGACUCAAAACAACUGCUCCGAGUCUGCCUCCGGGCGGGCGACGUAUUCAUUCUGCCCUGGGAGUGCCCCUUUAGGGGGCCCACCAGCAGCUCUUCCGAGCUCACAGAUCAGACGAACGCGGCCACUAUGGGUGGUUUCGAUAUGACCGGCCGGGGCUGUCACCAGCCCACGACUUUUUUGCGGAACCUGCGGAAGGAUCAUUAAAGAGUGGGGCCUCGCGCUCCAGGGGACCCCGGUCCCCGCCUCUCCACCCUGUGAUUACCUUACCUAUUGUUGCUUUGGCGGGAAGCCGGCCUCCGGCCUGGUGCGGUCCACCGGACCGCCCCGCCAGCAGCCCAAUCAAACUCGUUUUAUCCAUGCCCGUCUGUACCAAUUUUUAUAAUGAAUCAAAACUUUCAACAACGGAUCUCUUGGUUCUGGCAUCGAUGAAGAACGCAGCGAAAUGCGAUAAGUAAUGUGAAUUGCAGAAUUCAGUGAAUCAUCGAAUCUUUGAACGCACAUUGCGCCCCUCGGUAUUCCGGGGGGCAUGCCUGUUCGAGCGUCAUUGCACCACUCAAGCGUAGCUUGGUAUUGGGUCCUUCGCCCGGGGUCUCCCGCGGCGUGCCCGAAAAGCAUUGGCGGUCCGGUGUGACUUUAAGCGUAGUAAAUUUUCUCCCGCUUUGAAAGCCUCGCGCCGGUCCGGCCAGACAACCCCCAAAUAUUUCACGAUUGACCUCGGAUCAGGUAGGGAUACCCGCUGAACUUAAGCAUAUCAUAAAGCGCGAGAG